AACCCUACGGGACGCAGCAGUGGGGGAUAUUGCACAAUGGGGGAAACCCUGAUGCAGCGACGCCGCGUGUGGGAAGACGGUCCUCUGGAUUGUAAACCACUGUCCCCAGGGACGAAGAUGACGGUACCUGCAAAGGAAGCACCGGCUAACUCCGUGCCAGCAGCCGCGGUAAUACGGAGGGUGCGAGCGUUAAUCGGAAUUACUGGGCGUAAAGCGCUCGUAGGCGGUAUGUCAAGUCAAGGGUGAAAUCCCCGCGCUCAACGUGGGAACUGCCUUUGAAACUGGCAAACUGGAGUGUGUGAGAG
rnacentral:rRNA from 1 species